UUGGCCUUAAUCAUUAUUAGGGUAUCUAGUUUAAAAAAUUUGUCUGAUGACCCCGCCUUCCAACCAUCAUGGCCGACAUGGUUAAAAAUAGAACAUAGGGGUAAAAUGCAGUUUUUGGUUUAUAUCUCUGAAACUAAAGCAUUUAGAGCAAAUCUGACAGGUGGCAAAAUGUUCAUCAGAUUUAGAUUUAUCUGCCCUGAAAUUUUCAAACGAAUCCGACAACCCGUUGUUGGGUUGCUGCCCCUGAGUUAGUAAUUUUACAGAAAUUUUACAGAUUUUUGUUAUUAUCUUAGAUAUCAUUAUAAUAUCUAAUAUCUAAUACUAUUAAUUAUGAUUUUAACCUUAUUUUACAUGAUUUCCAAAGCAUCAGUAAAUACAGGUGAGCGACACAG